rnacentral:tmRNA from 1 species
AACUAGCAUCAUGUUGGUUGUUUAUCACUUUUCAUGAUGCGAAACCUAUCGAUAAACUACACACGUAGAAAGAUGUGUAUCAGGACCUUUGGACGCGGGUUCAAAUCCCGCCGUCUCCAUAU